CAAAGCGUAGCUUAACUAAAGCACCCGGCCUACACCCGGAAGAUUUCAGACACACUGACCACUUUGA
rnacentral:tRNA from 1 species